rnacentral:rRNA from 1 species
CCCCAGUAACGGCGAGUGAAGCGGCAACAGCUCAAAUUUGAAAUCUGGCCCCCCCCCCGGGGGGCCCGAGUUGUAAUUUGCAGAGGAUGCUUUGGGCGAGGCGCCUUCCGAGUUCCCUGGAACGGGACGCCACAGAGGGUGAGAGCCCCGUCUGGUCGGACGCCGAGCCUCUGUAAAGCUCCUUCGACGAGUCGAGUAGUUUGGGAAUGCUGCUCAAAAUGGGAGGUAUAUGUCUUCUAAAGCUAAAUACCGGCCAGAGACCGAUAGCGCACAAGUAGAGUGAUCGAAAGAUGAAAAGCACCUUGAAAAGGGGGUUAAACAGUACGUGAAAUUGUUGAAAGGGAAGCGCUCGUGACCAGACUUGGGGCGGGCGGAUCAGCCGGCGUUCUCGCCGGCGCACUCCGCCCGUCCCAGGCCAGCAUCAGUUCGCGCCGGGGGACAAAGGCGGCGGGAACGUGGCUCCCCAGGGAGUGUUAUAGCCCGCCGCGCCAUGCCCCGGGGGCGGACUGAGGGCCGCGCAUCACUGCAAGGAUGCUGGCGUAAUGGUCACCAGCGACCCGUCUUGAAACACGGGCCAAGGAGUCGUCCUCGUAUGCGAGUGUUCGGGUGUCAAACCCCUACGCGGAAUGAAAGUGAACGUGGGUGAGAGCUUCGGCGCAUCAUCGACCGAUCCUGAUGUUCUCGGAUGGAUUUGAGUAGGAGCAUACGGGGCCGGACCCGAAAGAAGGUGAACUAUGCCUGUGUAGGGUGAAGCCAGAGGAAACUCUGGUGGAGGCUCGCAGCGGUUCUGACGUGCAAAUCGAUCGUCAAACAUGGGCAUGGGGGCGAAAGACU